UUAACCUGCCCAAUGUGGAUUGGAAUGAAUGGCCGCGGUACCCUGACCGUGCUAAGGUAGCGUAAUCAGUUGGCUUUUAAAUGGAGUCAGGAAUGAAUGGGAUAACCUGGUCUUACUGUCNCCUUACUAUUUAAUCUAAUUUACUGACCAAGUGAAAAAGCUUGGAAAAAGUAAAGGGAGGAGAAGACCCUUAGAAUUUNACUUACGAUAAGAUAGGNUCUUAUGUUUGUUUUGUUGGGGUGACAAGGAAAUAUAUUUAAACUUUCUUUAUUUUACAAGCCGAGUUUUAUUAAGUAAGAAUAAAUUACCUGAGGGAUAACAGCAUAAUUCUAUAAGUGAGUUUGUGACCUCGAUGUUGGACUAGGAAACUAGCAAGUUAGCCGUUUGUUGUGUUGGUUCUGUUCNNNNNNNNNNCCNCCGUG
rnacentral:rRNA from 1 species